GGUUUACCUGUGUGACUGCGUACCUUUUGUAUAAUGGGUCAGCGACUUAUAUUCUGUAGCAAGGUUAACCGUAUAGGGGAGCCGGAGGGAAACCGAGUCUUAAUUGGGCGUUAAGUUGCAGGGUAUAGACCCGAAACCCGGUGAUCUAGCCAUGGGCAGGUUGAAGGUUGGGUAACACUAACUGGAGGACCGAACCGACUAAUGUUGAAAAAUUAGCGGAUGACCUGUGGCUGGGGGUGAAAGGCCAAUCAAACCGGGAGAUAGCUGGUUCUCCCCGAAAGCUAUUUAGGUAGCGCCUCGUGAAUUCAUCUCCGGGGGUAGAGCACUGUUUCGGCUAGGGGGCCAUCCCGGCUUACCAACCCGAUGCAAACUGCGAAUACCGGAGAAUGUUAUCACGGGAGACACACGGCGGGUGCUAACGUCCGUCGUGAAGAGGGAAACAACCCAGACCGCCAGCUAAGGUCCCAAAGUCAUGGUUAAGUGGGAAACGAUGUGGGAAGGCCCAGACAGCCAGGAUGUUGGCUUAGAAGCAGCCAUCAUUUAAAGAAAGCGUAAUAGCUCACUGGUCGAGUCGGCCUGCGCGGAAGAUGUAACGGGGCUAAACCAUGCACCGAAGCUGCGGCAGCGAACGUAUCACUUAAAGCGAUUCAGCGGGUUACGAU
rnacentral:rRNA from 1 species